rnacentral:rRNA from 1 species
UAACACUGGGUAACCUGCCCAAGAGAUCGGGAUAACACCUGGAAACAGAUGCUAAUACCGGAUAAAAGCACUUUCGCAUGAAAGAAGUUUAAAAGGCGGCGUAAGCUGUCGCUAAAGGAUGGACCUGCGAUGCAUUAGCUAGUUGGUAAGGUAACGGCUUACCAAGGCGAUGAUGCAUAGCCGAGUUGAGAGACUGAUCGGCCACAUUGGGACUGAGACACGGCCCAAACUCCUACGGGAGGCAGCAGCC